rnacentral:rRNA from 1 species
CCAUAGGUUAAUGAGGCGAACCGGGGGAACUGAAACAUCUAAGUACCCCGAGGAAAAGAAAUCAACCGAGAUUCCCCCAGUAGCGGCGAGCGAACGGGGAGCAGCCCAGAGCCUGAAUCAGUGUGUGUGUUAGUGGAAGCGUCUGGAAAGGCGCGCGAUACAGGGUGACAGCCCCGUACACAAAAAUGCACAUGCUGUGAGCUCGAUGAGUAGGGCGGGACACGUGGUAUCCUGUCUGAAUAUGGGGGGACCAUCCUCCAAGGCUAAAUACUCCUGACUGACCGAUAGUGAACCAGUACCGUGAGGGAAAGGCGAAAAGAACCCCGGCGAGGGGAGUGAAAAAGAACCUGAAACCGUGUACGUACAAGCAGUGGGAGCACGCUUAGGCGUGUGACUGCGUACCUUUUGUAUAAUGGGUCAGCGACUUAUAUUCUGUAGCAAGGUUAACCGAAUAGGGGAGCCGAAGGGAAACCGAGUCUUAACUGGGCGUUAAGUUGCAGGGUAUAGACCCGAAACCCGGUGAUCUAGCCAUGGGCAGGUUGAAGGUUGGGUAACACUAACUGGAGGACCGAACCGACUAAUGUUGAAAAAUUAGCGGAUGACUUGUGGCUGGGGGUGAAAGGCCAAUCAAACCGGGAGAUAGCUGGUUCUCCCCGAAAGCUAUUUAGGUAGCGCCUCGUGAAUUCAUCUCCGGGGGUAGAGCACUGUUUCGGCAAGGGGGUCAUCCCGACUUACCAACCCGAUGCAAACUGCGAAUACCGGAGAAUGUUAUCACGGGAGACACACGGCGGGUGCUAACGUCCGUCGUGAAGAGGGAAACAACCCAGACCGCCAGCUAAGGUCCCAAAGUCAUGGUUAAGUGGGAAACGAUGUGGGAAGGCCCAGACAGCCAGGAUGUUGGCUUAGAAGCAGCCAUCAUUUAAAGAAAGCGUAAUAGCUCACUGGUCGAGUCGGCCUGCGCGGAAGAUGUAACGGGGCUAAACCAUG